UCCCCAGUGGCUCAGAGGGUAAAGCCCCUGCAUGCAAUGCGGGAGACCCGGGUUUGAUCCCUGGGUUGGGAA
rnacentral:tRNA from 1 species